rnacentral:rRNA from 1 species
GACCCGAAACCCGGUGAUCUAGCCAUGGGCAGGUUGAAGGUUGGGUAACACUAACUGGAGGACCGAACCGACUAAUGUUGAAAAAUUAGCGGAUGACCUGUGGCUGGGGGUGAAAGGCCAAUCAAACCGGGAGAUAGCUGGUUCUCCCCGAAAGCUAUUUAGGUAGCGCCUCGUGAAUUCAUCUCCGGGGGUAGAGCACUGUUUCGGCUAGGGGGUCAUCCCGACUUACCAACCCGAUGCAAACUGCGAAUACCGGAGAAUGUUAUCACGGGAGACACACGGCGGGUGCUAACGUCCGUCGUGAAGAGGGAAACAACCCAGACCGCCAGCUAAGGUCCCAAAGUCAUGGUUAAGUGGGAAACGAUGUGGGAAGGCCCAGACAGCCAGGAUGUUGGCUUAGAAGCAGCCAUCAUUUAAAGAAAGCGUAAUAGCUCACUGGUCGAGUCGGCCUGCGCGGAAGAUGUAACGGGGCUAAACCAUGCACCGAAGCUGCGGCAGCGACACUGUGUGUUGUUGGGUAGGGGAGCGUUCUGUAAGCCUGUGAAGGUGGCCUGUGAGGGUUGCUGGAGGUAUCAGAAGUGCGAAUGCUGACAUAAGUAACGAUAAAGCGGGUGAAAAGCCCGCUCGCCGGAAGACCAAGGGUUCCUGUCCAACGUUAAUCGGGGCAGGGUGAGUCGACCCCUAAGGCGAGGCCGAAAGGCGUAGUCGAUGGGAAACGGGUUAAUAUUCCCGUACUUGGUGUUACUGCGAAGGGGGGACGGAGAAGGCUAUGUUGGCCGGGCGACGGUUGUCCCGGUUUAAGCGUGUAGGUGUGUGUUCCAGGUAAAUCCGGUUCACUUUAACACUGAGGCGUGACGACGAGGCACUACGGUGCUGAAGCAACAAAUGCCCUGCUUCCAGGAAAAGCCUCUAAGCAUCAGGUAACAUCAAAUCGUACCCCAAACCGACACAGGUGGUCAGGUAGAGAAUACCAAGGCGCUUGAGAGAACUCGGGUGAAGGAACUAGGCAAAAUGGUGCCGUAACUUCGGGAGAAGGCACGCUGACACGUAGGUGAAGUGAUUUACUCACGGAGCUGAAGUCAGUCGAAGAUACCAGCUGGCUGCAACUGUUUAUUAAAAACACAGCACUGUGCAAACACGAAAGUGGACGUAUACGGUGUGACGCCUGCCCGGUGCCGGAAGGUUAAUUGAUGGGGUCAGCGCAAGCGAAGCUCCUGAUCGAAGCCCCGGUAAACGGCGGCCGUAACUAUAACGGUCCUAAGGUAGCGAAAUUCCUUGUCGGGUAAGUUCCGACCUGCACGAAUGGCGUAAUGAUGGCCAGGCUGUCUCCACCCGAGACUCAGUGAAAUUGAACUCGCUGUGAAGAUGCAGUGUACCCGCGGCAAGACGGAAAGACCCCGUGAACCUUUACUAUAGCUUGACACUGAACAUUGAGCCUUGAUGUGUAGGAUAGGUGGGAGGCUUUGAAGCGUGGACGCCAGUCUGCGUGGAGCCGACCUUGAAAUACCACCCUUUAAUGUUUGAUGUUCUAACGUGGACCCGUGAUCCGGGUUGCGGACAGUGUCUGGUGGGUAGUUUGACUGGGGCGGUCUCCUCCUAAAGAGUAACGGAGGAGCACGAAGGUUGGCUAAUCCUGGUCGGACAUCAGGAGGUUAGUGCAAUGGCAUAAGCCAGCUUGACUGCGAGCGUGACGGCGCGAGCAGGUGCGAAAGCAGGUCAUAGUGAUCCGGUGGUUCUGAAUGGAAGGGCCAUCGCUCAACGGAUAAAAGGUACUCCGGGGAUAACAGGCUGAUACCGCCCAAGAGUUCAUAUCGACGGCGGUGUUUGGCACCUCGAUGUCGGCUCAUCACAUCCUGGGGCUGAAGUAGGUCCCAAGGGUAUGGCUGUUCGCCAUUUAAAGUGGUACGCGAGCUGGGUUUAGAACGUCGUGAGACAGUUCGGUCCCUAUCUGCCGUGGGCGCUGGAGAACUGAGGGGGGCUGCUCCUAGUACGAGAGGACCGGAGUGGACGCAUCACUGGUGUUCGGGUUGUCAUGCCAAUGGCACUGCCCGGUAGCUAAAUGCGGAAGAGAUAAGUGCUGAAAGCAUCUAAGCACGAAACUUGCCCCGAG